rnacentral:SRP_RNA from 1 species
GCAGGGGAUAGACCGGGCUGCUGGGCGUAGCCUGUAACCGCAAACCGUCUUCAUGGCGGGGUCGAAGCCCGAGCAAGGUUUAAUCAUUCAGAACCGGCCCUUGCGUCCAACUGCGAAGCUCUGCCCUGCAGGAUCGUUUUCAUGGUGAACCUGGUCAGGCCUUGACGGGAGCAGCCAUAAAGACGUGACGCCGUGAAAAUAGUCCGGCGUCCUGUGCAUGGAAGCUAUGCUGAUGAUGCUUGCAGGAUUCAAGAGUGGAGAAGGGCGUCUGGAUAAACCGGAUUUGGGCGGUUUUACCGAACCAGGGUGUUCUCCUGC